rnacentral:rRNA from 1 species
UACGUAGGGUCCGAGCGUUGUCCGGAAUUAUUGGGCGUAAAGAGCGCGUAGGCGGUCCGGUAAGUCGGUUGUGAAAGUCGGGGGCUCAACCCUCGGAUGCCGAUCGAUACUGUCGGGCUAGAGUCCGGAAGAGGCGAGUGGAAUUCCUGGUGUAGCGGUGAAAUGCGCAGAUAUCAGGAGGAACACCAAUGGCGAAGGCAGCUCGCUGGGACGGUACUGACGCUGAGGAGCGAAAGCGUGGGGAGCGAACAGG